UUCCUUCACCAACUGUAGGGCAGCUUGAACCUUUUCUUGAGGCAUGGACCACUGAUCGAUCCAGAAUGGAUCAUUUGACUUCCAAGAUAUUUUAUCAGCCUGGAGUGCAGGAGGAACAGCAGUCUCUAUGAAAAAAGGUCAGGAGCUUUGAACUUUGGAGUGUAUCCUGUGUUUGACCUAUCCCUUUUAAAUGUGUGGCAGUAGCCUUAAGGGGCCAGGUUGAGGGCCAGUGUCUAGAGGAGAGAGAGCACUGUUGUAUCCACCCCCGUAUCUAAAAGGCCCUGAAAUUGUUUGCCAUCAAGCCAAAGAGACAUCA
rnacentral:sRNA from 1 species